rnacentral:rRNA from 1 species
ACCAGCACGUUAUGGUGGGCACUCUAAGGAGACUGCCUGUGGCAAACCGGAGGAAGGUGGGGAGUGACGUCAAGUCAUCAUGGCCCUUACGGCCUGGGCUACACACGUGCUACAAUGGUCGGUACAAAGGGUUGCCAAGCCGCGAGGUGGAGCUAAUCCCAUAAAACCGAUCGUAGUCCGGAUCGCAGUCUGCAACUCGACUGCGUGAAGUCGGAAUCGCUAGUAAUCGUGAAUCAGAAUGUCACGGUGAAUACGUUCCCGGGCCUU